UGGGGAAUUUUGGACAAUGGGCGAAAGCCUGAUCCAGCAAUGCCGCGUGUGUGAAGAAGGCCUUCGGGUUGUAAAGCACUUUUGUCCGGAAAGAAAUCCUUGGCUCUAAUACAGUCGGGGGAUGACGGUACCGGAAGAAUAAGCACCGGCUAACUACGUGCCAGCAGCCGCGGUAAUACGUAGGGUGCAAGCGUUAAUCGGAAUUACUGGGCGUAAAGCGUGCGCAGGCGGUUUGCUAAGACCGAUGUGAAAUCCCCGGGCUCAACCUGGGAACUGCAUUGGUGACUGGCAGGCUAGAGUAUGGCAGAGGGGGGUAGAAUUCCACGUGUAGCAGUGAAAUGCGUAGAGAUGUGGAGGAAUACCGAUGGCGAAGGCAGCCCCCUGGGCCAAUACUGACGCUCAUGCACGAAAGCGUGGGGAGCAAACAGGAUUAGAUACCCUGGUAGUCCACGCCCUAAACGAUGUCAACUAGUUGUUGGGAUUCAUUUCCUUAGUAACGUAGCUAACGCGUGAAGUUGACCGCCUGGGGAGUACGGUCGCAAGAUUAAAACUUAAAGGAAUUGACGGGGUCAUAGCUGUUUCCU
rnacentral:rRNA from 1 species